rnacentral:rRNA from 1 species
AUUGAACGCUGGCGGCAGGCUUAACACAUGCAAGUCGAGCGAGCGGCGGACGGGUGAGUAAUGUCUGGGAAACUGCCUGAUGGAGGGGGAUAACUACUGGAAACGGUAGCUAAUACCGCAUACCAUCAGAUCUGCCCCGAUGGGAUUAGCUAGUAGGUGGGGUAAUGGCUCACGUAGGCGACGAUGCCUAGCUGGUCUGAGAGGAUGACCAGCCACACUUGAACUUAGCACCGGUCCAGACUCCUACGGGAGGCAGCAGUGGGGAAUAUUGAACAAUGGGCGAAAGCCUGAUGCAGCCAUGCCGCGUUUAUGAAGAAGGCCUUAGGGUUGUAAAUUACUUUCAGCGGGGAGGCGUUACCCGCAGAAGAAGCACCGGCUAACUCCGUGCCAGCCGCCGCGGUAAUAC